GCCAAAGUGGCAUAGCGGUUUGAGCACUGGACUAUGACUCUGGAGACCAUCGUUCAAAUCCCUGAUUGCCA